rnacentral:snRNA from 1 species
UAUUGCUUGCUUCAGCAGUGCAUAUACAAAAUUAUAGUGAUACAGAGAAAACUAGCAUGGCACCUGUGGAAGGGUGACAUGCAAACCCACCAUGUAUUCUAUUUUUUA